rnacentral:lncRNA from 1 species
AUUCGGCCACAUGCCGUGCGCUUACCUCCUACUCAGAUGCACGCGUGCCGGGGAUGGGGGCACGCGCUUACUUCUUUUGCCCCGUUUAGAAAGGAGAAGACAGCCAUGUACAAACCAAGGAGAGAGACCUCAAGGUAACCACACCUUGAUCAUGGAAUUCUAGCCACCAGAAUUGUUAAGACAAUAAAUGUCUGUUGUUUAGGCCACCUA